rnacentral:tRNA from 1 species
GGGGAUUCACAACGAAGGCUACAAUGUGAGACAUCCACAUUUUGUUCGUAACUUCGUUUCAC